rnacentral:rRNA from 1 species
UACGGAGGGUGCGAGCGUUGUCCGGAAUCACUGGGCGUAAAGGGCGCGUAGGUGGCCCGUGGAAGUCUGCGGUGAAAGCCCGGCGCUCAACGCCGGGUCGGUCGUGGAUACUCUCGGGCUUGAGCUUACUAGAGGCAGAUGGAAUUCCGGGUGUAGCGGUGGAAUGCGUAGAGAUCCGGAAGAACACCGGUGGCGAAGGCGGUCUGCUGGGGUAAUGCUGACACUGAUGCGCGACAGCGUGGGGAGCAAACAGG